rnacentral:rRNA from 1 species
CCUACGGGAGGCAGCAGUGAGGAAUAUUGCACAAUGGGGGGAACCCUGAUGCAGCGACGCCGCGUGGGUGAAGAAGCGCCUCGGCGCGUAAAGCCCUGUCAGCAGGGAAGAAAAUGACGGUACCUGAAGAAGAAGCCCCGGCUAACUACGUGCCAGCAGCCGCGGUAAUACGUAGGGGGCAAGCGUUAUCCGGAUUUACUGGGUGGAAAGGGGGCGCAGACGGCGAUGCAAGCCAGGAGUGAAAGCCCGGGGCCCAACCCCGGGACUGCUCUUGGAACUGUGUGGCUGGAGUGCAGGAGGGGCAGGCGGAAUUCCUGGUGUAGCGGUGAAAUGCGUAGAUAUCAGGAGGAACACCGGUGGCGAAGGCGGCCUGCUGGACUGCAACUGACGUUGAGGCCCGAAAGUGUGGGGAGCAAACAGGAUUAGAUACCCCAGUAGUC